rnacentral:rRNA from 1 species
GGCCGCGGGAAUUCGAUUCAGGCCUAAUACAUGCAAGUCGAACGGGGUUAAGUGAAAUUUUCGGAUGGAGCUUAACUUAGUGGCGGACGGGUGAGUAACGCGUGGAUAACCUGCCUCACACUGGGGGAUAGCAGCUGGAAACGGCUGGUAAUACCGCAUAAGACCACAGCACCGCAUGGUGCAGGGGUAAAAGAUUUUUCGGUGUGAGAUGGAUCCGCGUCUGAUUAGCCAGUUGGCGGGGUAACGGCCCACCAAAGCGACGAUCAGUAGCCGGCCUGAGAGGGUGAACGGCCACAUUGGGACUGAGACACGGCCCAAACUCCUACGGGAGGCAGCAGUGGGGAAUAUUGCACAAUGGGCGCA